GUUAAUGCUUUUAAAUAAUGAUAAUAACAAUAACAGUAACAAAAAAAAUCCUCACUAAUCAUCUUGAUGAUAUAUUAUGAUAAAUAAAUCCUUAAGUGAAUAGUCUAGUGAGCACGACGGAUUUCACAUUUCACCAUUUUCAUUGUGUAUGUGAAUUUACAAAUGCGAUAGUAAAUGAGUUCAACUGACUUUGUAGAGGUCCUUGGCAUUAUCAGCCUUAAUGUGAAUAUCCCGAUAUACAGCGAAAUUGCUGCCGCUGUACACACAUCAACGUCGAUCAAGUUAUUAAACUUCUUUUUUAGAGUACUUUUUGUUUGAUUUUAUUGUUGUUGUUGAUCUAUUGACUAGUUGCUGUACAAGUGAAACCUGAUAAUGUAAAAAUGUCAAGGUAGUGAUGUGGGAAUUGAAUGAGUAACAAUAAUUGUUAUAUAAAAAAUAAAGCGAUACAUAUGCAACAAAACAUUA